rnacentral:rRNA from 1 species
CCUACGGGUGGCAGCAGUGGGGGAUAUUGCACAAUGGGGGAAACCCUGAUGCAGCGACGCCGCGUGGGUGAAGAAGUGCCUCGGAGCGUAAAGUCCUGUUAGCAGGGAAGAAAAUGACGGUAUCUGAAGAAGAAGCACCGGCUAACUACGUGCCAGCAGCCGCGGUAAUACGUAGGGGGCAAGCGUUACUCGGAAUUACUGGGGGUAAAGGGUGCGUAGGCGGGGAUGCAAGCCAGGUGUGAAAGCCUGGGGCUUAACCACGGGACUGCACUUGAAACUGCGAUUCUGGAGUGCAGGAGGGGCAGGUGGAAUUCCUGGUGUAGCGGUAAAAUGCGUAGAGAUCAGGAGGAACACUGAUUGCGAAGGCGACCUGCUGGACUGCAACUGACGUUGAGGCCCGAAAGCGUGGGGAGCAAACAGGAUUAGAUACCCGAGUAGUC